CGCUCCGAAGUUUGUCUCUUGGUCAAGUUCAGGAGCGACGAUCCGCGCCGCCGUCUGGCUGCGCAACGAAGCCGAGCGAUUUGCAUUGCCCGAAACUGGGUGCCCCGCUGAGUCCCCCUGUACCCCACUUCAUCCUCCGGGACCGUGGGGAAAAAGGCGUGGGGCGUUCACAGCUUUGGCUCGGAGGGGCGGUUUUUAUAAGGGGUGUUAUUAAGGGGUCACAGCGAGCAGACGGGAACGAACAUUUAGGAAAUCCGAAACGCAGGGAGCCCCGGGGAUGUCUACUCCCCCACCCGCUCCCGCCCCCGCACAACACGCACACACGGGCGCGCACACACUCCUUUCGCCCCGAUUUGCUUCCGGGAAAACGAAUCUUGAGGGCGGUGGACACUCGCCAGAAGUCAAGCAGUAGAAGAAGUAGGAGUCCGGGGUAGAACCAGGACUCAAAAAUCUCUCCACUGCCUGCCGGGUGGUGGGCCCAUAUCCUGUGCAGCCUCUAGGAAGCGCUAGACACAUUUGUGACUGCACCUGCUGUCCUUCAGUGGAUCCUCACGGCAUCUUCUGAGCAGACUGAGGUCCAGAGCUAUACAAGAACUCUAGGGAGGCAGAAUCUACUGGGGACAUGUUCUUCUCAAGGAAGAAGUGAGGGUACAUGGAAGCAUGUGAAGCUUUUAAAGGCUAGGCUUGGAACAGGCAGAGAAAAACUCUAGACCCACUGAAGGGGUUCCAUGACUCAUCCGAGUACAUCAGAGCCACCGGACCACCGGACCACCAUGAGCCUAACCCACGUCAGACACACAGACAGCUAGUAUCUUCAGGAAGAUCCCAGUAGAACUGAGUAGAUGAGUCCUGUAGGAAAAAUACAACACCUAACAAGACGAGUGCCCUAAAGAGGUAAAAAGAGCGUGCUAAAUAAGAACCAGAGUCGUGGAGCAACUUGGAGUCAAGCAGACUGUCGUUUGAAUCUCAUGGGCGCUCAGCUGCCCCGGCAGGCUCUCUGUGAACACUUGCUGAACAAAUGCCCGGCUGGGAAAACGAAGGCAUGAGGAAAUCAGCACCGAUGCUGAACACUGCCUGUGUGUCAGGGCACUGGGAGCUGGAGCUGGCAUGUGGGGUUAAGGUCUGAUUCCAUAUUUUCACCUGGUCAUAGUCAAACUGCAACUUAUCCAAAGGAGCAGAACCGGAACACCAAAGGAAAUGAUGCUGUCUUUGCAAAGGCUGAGGGACCUGAAUUUCUUUCCCUGAAGAAGAGAAGCGGAGUGUAAGGAGAGGGCUGAACUUGAAGAUCUUAAAGGACCCUUCUAUCCCUAAAAUGCUUAGGGAUCCCGGAAGGCAACACCCAAAUGCCCCAGGUACUGACUGUGAAACGCUUUAUGCAGCAACCUUCAAAACAAAACCACCCCCAAACCUGAACUUGGAGUUUUUUCAAAACUUCCAACAAUGUCACCAUUGAAGCA